CAAUAGCGUAUAUUUAAGUUGUUGCAGUUAAAAAGUUCGUAGUUGGAUUUCGGAUGGGAUUUGCCGGUCCGUCGUUACGAUGUGCACUGGCCAGUCCUAUCUUGUUGUCGGGGACUAGCUCCUUGGAUUCACUUCCUGGGACUAGGAGCUGACGAGGUUACUUUGAGUAAAUUAGAGUGUUCAAAGCAAGCCUACGCUCUGAAUACAUUAGCAUGGAAUAACACGAUAGGACUCUGGCUUAUCUUGUUGGUCUGUGAGACCAGAGUAAUGAUUAAGAGGGACAGUCGGGGACAUUCGUAUUUCAUUGUCAGAGGUGAAAUUCUUGGAUUUAUGAAAGACGAACUUCUGCGAAAGCAUUUGUCAAGGAUGUUUUCAUUAA
rnacentral:rRNA from 1 species